UGAGGAAUAUUGGUCAAUGGGCGGGAGCCUGAACCAGCCAAGCCGCGUGAGGGAAGAAGGUACAGCGUAUCGUAAACCUCUUUUGUCAGGGAACAAAAGGCGGGGACUAGUCCCCGGAUGGACGGUACCUAGAAAAGAAAACGCAGU
rnacentral:rRNA from 1 species